GUUUUGUUUUGUUUCACAUGUCCUAUAUUUUUUGUUAAAAACUGGAUAUUUUACAUUGUAUAAUGAGGCAAUUGUGGAAAUCAGAUUCCACUCUUUUUUGUUUUUUUAACAUUUGAACUACCAUUUUAUUUUCAUGCGGGCUAAAGGACAAUUUGGAAAAGGUUCUAUUCUGAGAACAGAGCUGGGGAAGUGGAAGAGCAUCAGUACCAUUGUUUUGAAGUUAGCCUGUCAGUCAUCGUGAUUGAAACAUAACCCCAGUGGCUUCCACAAGUACAAUAAAACGCUUCGCCAAAGGUUGCAGAAUUCUAGGAUGUAAUAAAGUCGCUUGGCUUCAUUUCCAAUGCUGCAGAGUCCUACAGAACGAGGUCCAUUUCCUUAUGCCUUGGGAUUUGUUUGAGUUACUGUCAUGCUGCUGUCACUGGAAGUAGGCCCUGAGCACAGCUGCUUCUGCUGCCAUUUCCUCCUCAGAUCUCCAAGAGGCCGGGCUGUCUUCCUCCUCUUUGUCAUGUUUCUCCAGCUCGUCAUAGAUGCUGUCAUUCCUGCGAAAGUUUCCAGCCUGUCUGGGAAGAACGUGGACAUGAACGUGAGCUCGUAGAGGUUUCAAUCCAUAGUCCAAGGCUGGGAUGACAAACAGGCCUCGCAGAGGAGGAACAACAAGGUGCACACAAGAUAGCAAAGAUCAAUUUUUGAUACACCACAUAGUUGUUCUGACCUCGAAGACCCAUGGUCCACAUGAUACUUCAACAUUCCCAUUAUGCUUUCCUCUGAUUCUGUUCCUCUACAUACAAAAACCAAAAUUUGCUUACACUGGAAGGGAAUUUUUAUCAGGGUUUUGGAUAGUUUACAGAAUUGGUGUGAAAUUUCCAGUAAAAAUGAGAAAAUAGAAAUCAAAGGAAACACAACAGUCACAACUAGAGUCAAAAUUACACCACUGGUCAUCCACUGCUGUUGGAUCCUGGUCUGUUUCUAAUAUAAUAGCUCCAUAAAUGCUAUCAUCAUGAAUACUUCCAGUGCCUUGGUUGGUUGUCAUUAUUUAUUUCAGAU
rnacentral:lncRNA from 1 species